UGCGGAAGGAUCAUUAGUGAAUUAUAGGGCGUCUACUUGUAGAGCCUGACCUCCACUUCUAACACUGUGCACUUGAUGGCGAGGUAAUGGAACUUUCGAGUGAAACUACCUUGCGGCUUCAUUUUAAACAUUAGUCAAAGUAUGUCAUGAAAUAUAAAAACAAAAAAAAACUUUCAACAACGGAUCUCUUGGCUCUCGCAUCGAUGAAGAACGCAGCGAAAUGUGAUAAGUAAUGUGAAUUGCAGAAUUCAGUGAAUCAUCGAAUCUUUGAACGCACCUUGCGCUCCCUGGUAUUCCGGGGAGCAUGCCUGUUUGAGUGUCAUGAACUCUUCAACCCACCAGUUUCUAGUAGACUGCGUUGGUGUUUGGAUUUUGAGCGUUGCUAGUCUGACUAGCUCGUUCGUAAUAUAUUAGCAUCUCUAAUUCGAAUUCGGAUUGACUCAGUGUAAUAGACUAUUCGCUGAGGACACUUUUAUUAGUGGCCGUACUAGAACCAGUAGAAGCUUCCAACUAUUGUAGUCAACUUUAAUUUAGACCUCAGAUCAGGCAGGAUUACCCGCUGAACUUAAGCAUAUCAAUAAGCGGA
rnacentral:rRNA from 1 species